rnacentral:misc_RNA from 1 species
AAAAAAUUCACAAAGUUGCCACGUAAUUUUGGCAAAUUCUUCCUUAUAGAAAACACACAUACGCAGAAGCAUAAGGGCCACAAUAAUAUGCUUCUACGAGAUUCGAAGUCAAAAUUCAAACAUCACUUCUACAAUGAAUCUAAAGUUUCAUACAGAAACAAAGAGAAACCAAUUAUAGCUUCUCUAAUACAAACAUCGUUUUUACGAUGCCUCUAAUGUUUCCGACAGAAACAACAGGAAACCUAUAGCUUUUCUCUUCUCUAUCUAAGAGAUCACUUAGUGCUGAGGGCAGCAACAGUUUUUACUCCCAAUAUCUGAAGCGAGACAAGGAGGUUUGACGUCCUCAUCCUUGUACCAGAUUGAUCGUGCUUCAACUAAUUCGUCCAAGAAGUUAUCCAGCUUAUCAACUGUCACACUAGGCAUCACAACAACAUGUGCCAUAUUUCUUUCACAAGCAAGUUGCCACUUGCGAACAAACUCCUCAUCUUUAGGUCGCUCAAAAACAACUGUGCUGCUCAGCUCAUUCAGCAUAGCACUGAUUCCAGCUCCUAUAAGGCGGUCUUUCAAAUAAUGAGCAUUCCUCAGGCACUUCUGGACUUCCUUCUGGAAUCCCUUGUACCCUUUUCUGUUCAGAGUGUACCAAAGGAAAAGUGGAGCAUGCCCAUUCCGACUUCCCAUGAUAGUGGCAUCCCUUGAUGCAAGGUACUCCACAUUACUAGAAAGGGCAUUAAUGUGCUCUAGCCUUGUUAGUUGAACACCACAUGGCAUUGGACAUCCCACAAACUUGUGACCAGAGACACUCACACUACCGAUUGGCUUUUUGAAAGUAACCUUUGGUGCGCGCUUGACAAAUGGCAUCAUAAGCCCAAAGAGAGCCCCAUCACAGUGGAUAUAAAAUCGAUCAUGUGAAAAUCCGCAGUCUUCAAGGGUUUUUAUGACAAGAUCAAGAUCAUCAACAGCUCCUUUCACAGUAGUUCCAAUGUUGACAUUAAUGAUUGCAGGCUUAUCCUUGUUGGCUAGUAGCUUAACUUUGAAGUCUGCACAAUCUAUUUCACCAGUUAGUAGAGUGCCAACCUUUUCACAUUCCAUCCUAUACAUUCGUGCUGCUUUAAAAAUAGAAUAAUGAGACUCCUUUGAAGCAUACAAAAUUCCUUCAGGAAAUACUUCUCUCCCAACAAGGAUUCCAUGAAGAUUUCCCUCAGUUCCACAGUUUGUGAUGUAUCCCCAAUAUUCAUCCUUUUCAAUAUCCCAUAGGCGUGCAAACCAGUCCAAAACACCAACUUCAAACUGCCUUGAGUGCACACCGUAGUUACUCUCAAUGAAUGGAUCUCCUAAGUUAUUGAUGGAGAAAUGCUGCAAUUGUGUGAGUGCACCAUAAUCGAAAUCCAAAUUAUAUGGAUACCCUAAAUGAUACUUAGUUCGAUCAGUGAGAGUCUUCCUAUACCGAGCUAGAACACUAGCCAUAUACGCUUCCUUAUCACCAGUAGAAUCAUCAUCCGCAUCAGGUUCCGUAACAGAAAAGGACGACGUAUGUAUAUUCCUCCCUAACACUAUCUCCCUCUUCUGCUCCUGGCCACCGCCAUUAACCGCCGCAUCUACUUCCGAUUUCACCACUGCAGGCACCAGCUCCGGUACUACAGCCGUCGGAUCAAAUCGAACAUCCGCCACCUCCUUUCCAUUAACAGCUGAACCCAUCGAUUCGAUUACUGCACUUGUUCCUACCAUAGCUCUGUUCGAAUCAACAAUCACUUGGAAACAAUGGAGAUUUCUGUAAACGGAGAACCGGCAGCGUCGGCUAAGGAACGAUCGGAA